GAGUAAUCACUUGGAACAAAUUUUCAGGACAACGCCAGUUUCUGGAUAUUCAUUCCCAAAGUGUGCGACGAAAUACAUGGGUGUGCCAGUUACUUUUAUGCUU
rnacentral:lncRNA from 1 species